rnacentral:rRNA from 1 species
UGGGGAAUAUUGCACAAUGGGGGAAACCCUGAUGCAGCGACGCCGCGUGAACGAAGAAGGUAUUCGUAUCGUAAAGUUCUGUCUUAUGGGAAGAUAAUGACAGUACCAUAGAAGAAAGCUCCGGCUAAAUACGUGCCAGCAGCCGCGGUAAUACGUAUGGAGCGAGCGUUGUCCGGAAUUAUUGGGCGUAAAGGGUACGCAGUCGGUUUAAUAAGUCGAAUGUUAAAGAUCGGGGCUCAACCCCGCAAAGCAUUGGAAACUGAUAAACUUGAGUAGUGGAGAGGAAAGUGGAAUUCAUAGUGUAGUGGUGAAAUACGUAGAUAUUAGGAGGAAUACCAGUAGCGAAGGCGACUUUCUGGACACAAACUGACGCUGAGGUACGAAAGCGUGGGGAGCAAACAGG